rnacentral:misc_RNA from 1 species
GAAUUCCUGUGGGUUCCUUAACACCGGAAAGUGUCACCAGAAUGAAUUGAGAUACCAGUAAGACAUACAUCCUAAAUCUGGCAUUCGCCAUAUUACAUAUAUCAUCUGAUUGGAGAAAUGCUUUAUUAAUUAUCUAUUUACGGUAAGAAGAACACUGCCAAUACGAUAUUCCAUAUGUUUCUAAAACUUUACAGAGAAAAGCUUAUCACUCAUCUUACCUACGAGGAAAUGCCUCUGAUCCAACAGUGUCCCAAUACCAACAUCGUGUGCUGCAACCAUUACAUCAACGUCACUGGAACCUGCAUGCGUAUGUAUAAGAUAUAUCAACUACUUUGCUCUUUUUACUUUAUUUUUGAAAAGACAUCAAGAAAUGAGGCGUAAGAACACCACGAUGUUAAUCUUGUUUUGGGGAUUUUUUUCCAGUUAUUGCUGAGGCUGCCAACUACAAACAAGAUCUGAUAGACCUUCUGCAGGCCGGUCUUCUGGGAUAGAUAAUUUGAUUUUUGUUGUUUAAAAAUAAAUCAUUUGUUAUUU